rnacentral:tRNA from 4 species
GGUCACGUAGCUCAAAUGGAUAGAGCAACUGCCUUCUAAGCAGUAGGUCACAGGUUCGAAUCCUGUCGUGAUCA